rnacentral:rRNA from 1 species
GAACGCUGGCGGUAGGCCUAACGCAUGCAAGUCGAACGGCAGCACAGUAAGAGCUUGCUCUUACGGGUGGCGAGUGGCGGACGGGUGAGGAAUACGUCGGAAUCUACUUUUUCGUGGGGGAUAACGUAGGGAAACUUACGCUAAUACCGCAUACGACCUACGGGUGAAAGCAGGGGAUCUUCGGACCUUGCGCGAUUGAAUGAGCCGAUGUCGGAUUAGCUAGUUGGCGGGGUAAAGGCCCACCAAGGCGACGAUCCGUAGCUGGUCUGAGAGGAUGAUCAGCCACACUGGAACUGAGACACGGUCCAGACUCCUACGGGAGGCAGCAGUGGGGAAUAUUGGACAAUGGGCGCAAGCCUGAUCCAGCCAUACCGCGUGGGUGAAGAAGGCCUUCGGGUUGUAAAGCCCUUUUGUUGGGAAAGAAAAGCAGCAGGUUAAUACCCCGCUGUUCUGACGGUACCCAAAGAAUAAGCACCGGCUAACUUCGUG